rnacentral:rRNA from 1 species
GACGAACGCUGGCGGCGUGCCUAAUACAUGCAGUAGAACGCACAGGAUGCACCGUAGUUUACUACACCGUAUUCUGUGAGUUGCGAACGGGUGAGUAACGCGUAGGUAACCUGCCUGGUAGCGGGGGAUAACUAUUGGAAACGAUAGCUAAUACCGCAUAAGAACAUUUACUGCAUGGUAGAUGUUUAAAAGGUGCAAAUGCAUCACUACCAGAUGGACCUGCGUUGUAUUAGCUAGUUGGUGAGGUAACGGCUCACCAAGGCAACGAUACAUAGCCGACCUGAGAGGGUGAUCGGCCACACUGGGACUGAGACACGGCCCAGACUCCUACGGGAGGCAGCAGUAGGGAAUCUUCGGCAAUGGGGGGAACCCUGACCGAGCAACGCCGCGUGAGUGAAGAAGGUUUUCGGAUCGUAAAGCUCUGUUGUUAAGGAAGAACGUGUGUGAGAGUGGAAAGUUUCACACAGUGACGGUACUUAACCCGAAAGGACGCUAACUA